AAAAAGACUAUGACAGAGAAGAGUAGCAUCGUAUCAUUCAUUCAGGAAGAAAAUGCCUUAGACUGCAAGCAUUUUUAUGAUUAUGUUGAUGUGAAUUCACCUCUUGAGUCGGCAUCGGGAUACAGAUAAACCUGUUGAAAGCUGCAUCGGCAAAAAGCCGUUAUCUGCAAUGAAGUGAGUGCUUAUUUUUAUUGGCGCUAAUAAGGGUGGUACCGCGAUACAUAAACCUCGUCCCUUUC
rnacentral:ncRNA from 1 species